rnacentral:rRNA from 1 species
UACGUAGGGGGCGAGCGUUGUCCGGAUUUAUUGGGCGUAAAGCGCGCGUAGGCGGUUACUUAAGUCGGAUGUGAAAGCCCUCGGCUUAACUGAGGAAGUGCACCCGAAACUGAGUAGCUAGAGUACGAAAGAGGGUCGCGGAAUUCCCGGUGUAGAGGUGAAAUUCGUAGAUAUCGGGAGGAACACCGGUGGCGAAGGCGGCGACCUGGGUCGAGACUGACGCUGAGGCGCGAAAGCGUGGGGAGCAAACAGG